UGGACGAUGCGCAUUGUCCGAUUGCUUCAGACAUCUCCAUUUCCCGUGCGGCCGUGCCACAUCCUGAAGGUGGUCCCCUUCCUGCCCGUCCCCCACCCCCAAUUCCCCAUUUUCUUCUCUGUUUUCCCCUGACGGUCGCAUGUGAGUCCGCUCGUGGGGCGAUUUGCUUUGCGCUGGUGUUUUCAGCCGCACGGGAGAGAGAUGCUGCGGAAGAGGUGGGCGGUCGUCGCCCUGCGGUCGAGACAGGCGGCGGCUGGGAGGUGCCAGAGUAACCGGCGAUUUGGCCGAUGCGCGAGCUGCACCGGUGAGUUGCCAGGAACGGGGAUGCAGGGGCCUCUGCAUGUCGCAGGCGUGGUGCCGCGGGCUGCGUGAAGUGGGUCGAAUCGGACCAUGGUGGUUCGCAUCCAGCGUGUGCGGCGAAUCGAGCACGCUGAACUGAAUUCGACGGGCGCAUCGAGCACGGCACUACUGCUGCCUCGAGUUUCGACGAUUAGUUCAUCCUUCUCACACCCUCCCCAAAACGCCCGGAUGUAAGCAAUUUUUGGACCAAUGUUUCGUAGAUUUCUAGGAUGAGGGUUCUAGGAGCUGAUCCCCUCCGUAGAGUUGAACGGUUUCUUCGUGCAGAUUUACCGGGAGGUUUUAAUGAGAUUUGUUAUGUCAUUCGAAUGGAUUUUAUGUAUGUAAAAGAAGAACCGGAGUGCAUAUUAGGUACUGCUUCUGGGGAUUUUGUACUGCAUUUUUCUGUCAAGACGUGGGUUCUAGGUUUAAUCGCGGCAUCGAACAACCAACGGCGAGCGUGAUAGGGGGGUUGCAGGCAGGCGGCGUGUGGAGGGCUUCUGCAUGUCGCACGGCGCGUUGCUGUGGGUUGAGCGAGCAGCGCGGGACUGCUGAUCUAAGCGCUGCGGGUGCAUCGAUGGUGGGGCUGCACGAGCUUGGCGGGCGGAAUGAGCACAAUGAUUCACCAGAUAUCCAUGGGGGAGGGGGUCAACUUGUGGUGUUUUUCAAGUAAGAUUCAUGGCGAUAAGAAUGGGAGAGGAGAGGGGAAAAAGGGCUGGAACGAGCCCUGGAGGUAAGGAGGGAGAUGGGAUCGGAGGUGACAGGAGGAGAAGAUGCUAUCGUACUUUUGCUUGUUUUUAGCCUUUGAUUUUCGCUUUUUUGGCCGAAGGAAACUUUUACCUGGCUCGGGCCUGUCGUGGCAGCUAGGAGCAUGACAACGCAAAAACUCGUGGUUGGACGCAUUUAUUGUGGGCGGACGCACGACAUGCCGUAAAGGAACCAAAACUUACCUCUUUAGGAAACGGGGGACCAGUACCUACCUUUUUUGGGUGUGCACCCUGGAAAACCUAAUAGUGCACGGGCACCUUGUAUCAGCGUCCAAACAUCAACAUAGACCAAAUAUAUUAUAUUAGUUGUAGCACAAUAUUUAUUCACCGUUGGAAAUCAAUACGUUAUGACCCUCCUACUUUGUUUCUCUUCUUUUUAUUCUUGAAUCAUGAGAAUAUUAAUAGAAGUAGCAACUCUAGCUCCAUUCAUUGUGUGCUUAUAUUUUUUUCAAGAAUGUGUUGUUAAUAGUAUUUGGAAAACUAUAAUUCUGCGUACGAAUUUAUUGUUAGUAAGAUGAAUUUGAUCUAUGCA